rnacentral:lncRNA from 1 species
GGCUGGGCUCUGCAGCCUGUCCCCGGGAAGCCGGGAGAGCUGACAGAUGAACGUGAGGCGGUCCCUGCUCGGCCUCACCUUCUGCACCUGUUACCUGGCUUCUCACCUCACCAACAAGGUGAGCAGGCGUGCGGGCGCGACUGCGCGUGGGCUGCGAGCCGUGCGGUCUGCGUUCCAGAAGCUGCCCGGGGCUGGCUGGUCUCGAUGCGGAUGUCGAGGAAACGGACCAUGAGAGGAAGCACUCUGAGUCCACUUCCCGGAACUUUGUCUUGGACUGGGAGGAUCAUAUAGAGGAGGCUGGGGACGUGGCCUGGCUGCGUGCACAAAGUCCAGGGUUCCAUCCGAGGCACUCACCUAAACUCUCAGACCUUGGGGGGUGGAAGUAGGAGGACCCGGGGUUCAAGGUCACCCUCUGCUACAUCAAGAGUUGGAGGCCAGCUUGGGGUACUUGAAACCCUGUCUCAAGUAGAUGAAUACAAAUAUACGCAAAUAAACAGAAAACAAGCAGUUGCCCUUUUUUUCUUCCCCAGGACCCAAAGUCCCAGAGCAGUGGAAAGAUGAAUUUCUUAGCCCUUACCUCAUUGAUGGAUUCAUUAAGUCUUUAUCUCCGUUCCAAGCAUUUCCAAUAUACCGGAGGUUUUUUUGUUUGCUUGUUUGUUUGUUUUUGUGGCUUAAAAUCUUGGUGAGGCAGAAACUGUCAUAUUUUGAUAGGAGUGGGAAGUUGCUUUGAGUUUAAGAUUUAUUUUUAUUUUAUGUGUAUGGUUGUUUUUCUAGUAUGUUUGUCUGUGCAGCAUAUGUGUGCAGUGUCUGCAAAGACCAGAAGGCAUUAGUUUCUCUGGAACUGGAGUUACAGAUGGUUGUGAGCCACCAUGUGUUAAGAUUGUCUGGAAGAGCAGCCAGUGCUCUUAACUGCUGAGCAAUCUCUCCAACUCCAGUCUCCAGCCUCUCUCUCUCUCUCUCUCUCUCUCUCUCUCUCUCUCUCUCUCUCAUUGUGGGUCUACCUACUGUGGGGCACGUGUGAGGUCAGAGCAGAGGGCAUCUUGCAAGAGUCAGUUCAGAUCGCAGAUCAUCAGGUUUUACUCAGUGAACCGUUUCACCAGCCCUGUUUACCCCCUAAGACUGGGCCUUGCUUUGUAGUCCAGGCUGGUCUGAAUCUUCCUUGUGCCUCCUCAUGGGGAUGCUGGAAUUUCAGUCAAGCACCACUACACAUAGCUCAGUGACAUUAGUAGAACUAACAUUCAAUUUGUCAUAGAUUUAAAAAAGUAUUUAUUUUACUUCUAAUUUCAUAGCUGUAGGGGGGGGUGGCAGUAAUUGCGUGUGAGUAUAGCUGUCUGAGGUAUUAAAGGUGGCUGUGAGCUAGCUAGUGUAGAUACAGAGAAUCUUAACUUGGUCUUUUUCAAGCAAGCAUUUUCAACCUCUGAGCCUUUUUUUUUUUUUCAGACCAUAGAUUUCUUUUCUUACUGUUUGGCAAAAUUGAGGUGGGAGCCUCCAAGUUUUGUUUUAUUUGGUGGCACUCGGGGGCUGAACCCAGCACCUCAUGAUAGGCUCAGCCGCUGUCCUGUAUCACCAUCUCUGCCUGGCCUUCAGCUUCUUAGAUCUCCCUCCCUUUGUAGACCAAAGCUAAGCACACAACAAAUUGAGUAACUAUUUGGUAUCACAAUGAAGGUUAUAAUGGGUGUUCCAAGACAUGCCCAGUUCUCAAUUCCUCCUUCCUCCAGUUCAGAAUAAAAGCAUCAGGGAAAGGUAGCGUGGGGCAUCCCAAGGAUGCCAGUGGAAGUACGUAAGGGGAAAUCCUAAACGUGGAUUGCAGCAAGUCCAUCAUUGUGGUCGUUAGGAGCUUAUUCACGGACAGCUUUGGGUAGGCAGAGGAGGAGACUCCAUGAACAUCCUCAUUAAUCUCUCCCUCCCUUCCUUUCCCCACCCCUCCCCUUUUCUUUCUUUUGAGAAAAGGUCUCAGAGGAUAGUUCCAGCUGGCCUGGAACUAGCUUUGUAGACCAGGCUGGCCUUGAACUCCCAAAGAUGCACCUGCCUCUGCCUCCCAAACACUGGGGUUGAAGGCAUGUGUCACCGUACCUGGCUCAACUGUCUUUUUUUUUUUUUUUAAAAUAAUGUGGAGAAUUAAAAGAGUUCUUUUUUAAAGUUUUGUUUUGUUUUGUUUUGUUUUCGAAACAGGCUUUCUCUCUCUAGCCCUGGCUGUCUUGGAACUCACUUUGUAGACCAGGCUGGCCUCGAACUCAAUGGUUUUAGAUAAGAAUGAGUGAACAAAUAAAUACAUAAUAAAUAAAUAAACUUAUAAUGUUCAUAAUAGAAAAAGAUGUCUCCAAAGACAAAAUACAAUUUCUCCAUUAUAAAGCUCUAUACAUUUGACUGGGGAGACACUCAAGUAAACGUGAUUGCCUCCUAAGUGUGAGGACCUGCAUUUAGAUCCCUGGACCCACUCAAAAGCCUGAUGUAGUAAUGUGUGUCCUAUGGCAAGAUAGGGAGCAGAAGAGGGCUGUCUGGGAGCUCCUGAGCUAGGUGGCCUGGCAUAUGCAAUGGUGGAUAACAAGAGCAUAUCACAAGCAAGGUGAGGCAAACUAACUCCUGCAUGCAUCACUGUACCUGCACCCACACUCACACUCACACAGGUGGAUGUGUACACAUACAUUAUAUCAACGGAUUAUACAC